GAUGAACGCUGGCGGCGUGCCUAAUACAUGCAAGUCGAGCGAACGGACGAGAAGCUUGCUUCUCUGAUGUUAGCGGCGGACGGGUGAGUAACACGUGGAUAACCUACCUAUAAGACUGGGAUAACUUCGGGAAACCGGAGCUAAUACCGGAUAAUAUUUUGAACCGCAUGGUUCAAAAGUGAAAGACGGUCUUGCUGUCACUUAUAGAUGGAUCCGCGCUGCAUUAGCUAGUUGGUAAGGUAACGGCUUACCAAGGCAACGAUGCAUAGCCGACCUGAGAGGGUGAUCGGCCACACUGGAACUGAGACACGGUCCAGACUCCUACGGGAGGCAGCAGUGGGGAAUCUUCCGCAAUGGGCGAAAGCCUGACGGAGCAACGCCGCGUGAGUGAUGAAGGUCUUCGGAUCGUAAAGCUCUGUUAUUAGGGAAGAACAUAUGUGUAAGUAACUGUGCACAUCUUGACGGUACCUAAUCAGAAAGCCCCGGCUAACUACGUG
rnacentral:rRNA from 1 species